GGAUCCCUCUGGCUUUUGCUGUUCUGUUUUGACCACAGGCACCUACAAAUCUUGGGGGCUGCCUUUUGCUUAGGAAUGGGACAUGGCAGUGGGGGAUUCCAAUCCCUCACUCAGGACAACCUUUGUUUUGGUUUCGGCCUUGCUCCAGGGUCACUGGGAUCAAAAUCUGCCUCCUGGCAUCUGUUUUUGGUUGCACAUCACAAGAUGACUUUGGAUUUUAUUGGUUUGGAGACAUCUGAAAGAAAUUUCAGGCUGGGUCCUUUGAUCUGACAUCUCCCUCAAAUCUGCUCCAAUGCCUGCUGUAAUAUGAAAGUUGAGAGUACUUUGUUUCUGGAAGUCAGGCGUUUUUUGCGCCUUUUGAAGUCCUCCAUCCAAGUUCUGAUGUCAACACUGAACUGCAGAGAGGAGAAUCAUAUUAGACUUUUCUUGAGGCACAGAGUGAAGUGACAUAAAUAUGAGUUAUCUGUUAAUAUUGUUGUUUUUGCUGCCUGGCCUGAUGACUGUGACUCCUAUCUCCAGUGCUGCCCAAUAUAUUCAAUCAAAAAAGAACUAUGUCUUACCCUUUUGGGUAAGCUGUUGCCAAUAAUUUCUUUGAGUCAGUUGAUUCAUUUUUAUUACUGGUUUUGUUUUCUUUGUGCUGAUAUUUCUGAAACUUUUCCUUGACCCUUGGAAAGCUAUUUGAAAUGAAUGUAUUUAAAUUUUUUUGUAGUGAAAAUCAUACUGUGACUUCAAUUUUGAAAAGUAUUGAUAAAAGUUAAAAGUGUCUCUAUUUGUUAGAAUUGCUCUUCAUGACUAUUUGCAAAAAGAGUAAAAAGUUCUUAAAUAUCUUUUAACAGAGUGAAUUAAUAAUUUUAUUUCCAAAAUCCAUCAUAAUUACAAUACCUGCAUUCUUUCUUUCCUUCCUGCUGCAGAAUGAGAUGAAGAGUUUUAAACUUUAUUACAGGAGAGCCGCUGCUUUUAUAUAACUGCUUCUAAAAGACUGCACAAUUUUCAAUUGCCAGUGCCUAAAUAAAAGAUCACAAAAUGAAAGUUCUUCUUCA
rnacentral:lncRNA from 1 species